UCCUCAACUAUACAUUUCUUCUCCGAGAAGAGGAGCACCCAUUCCAUCCAAGCGCUCCGCCACCUCCUCUAUCUUCUUCGAGAAGCUUCUUCGAGAACUCUCUCUCUCUCAAACACACACCAAAAAGCAGAGGAGUUUGAGGAGGAGGAGAUCGAUCGACCAUGUUUUACUCGGAAAGCUCCUCUCGGCCAAAUAUGGAUGGCGGCUACACUGCACGCGAAGAUCAAUCGGAGGAAGCUCGAUAAGCUCGACAUUAUCAAGAUAUGAUCUGGUUGUAGUGAGGAGAUCCUGAAUCCGACAGUUCCGAUGGCUUUACGGCUCUCUGAAAUCUAAUGGGUG